GGAUCCAUAGUGUAGUGGUUAGCAUGUUUGCUCUGCACGCAUAAGGUCCUGGGUUCGUGCCCCAGGUGGAGCCA
rnacentral:tRNA from 1 species